rnacentral:rRNA from 2 species
UUGACCUCAAAUCAGGCAGGACUACCCGCUGAACUUAAGCAUAUCAAUA